AUUGAACGCUGGCGGCAUGCCUAACACAUGCAAGUCGAACGGCAGCACGGCAGUAGCAAUACUGUGGGUGGCGAGUGGCGGACGGGUGAGGAAUACGUCGGAAUCUGCCCAGUCGUGGGGGAUAACUAGCCGAAAGGUUAGCUAAUACCGCAUACGACCGAGAGGUGAAAGCGGGGGACCGCAAGGCCUCGCGCGAUUGGAUGAGCCGACGUCGGAUUAGCUAGUUGGUGGGGUAAAGGCCCACCAAGGCGACGAUCCGUAGCUGGUUUGAGAGGAUGAUCAGCCACACUGGAACUGAGACACGGUCCAGACUCCUACGGGAGGCAGCAGUGGGGAAUAUUGGACAAUGGGCGCAAGCCUGAUCCAGCAAUGCCGCGUGUGUGAAGAAGGCCUCGGUGUAAGUCACUUUAUCUAGACGAAAGACGU
rnacentral:rRNA from 1 species